CCCCGUACUCGAUUCCGAUGCAACCUCUCUCUUUCCCUCCUCUCCCGUGCCGCCGCCACCCCCAUCUCCUGCUCCGCCGCCGCCCCCAUCUCCCGACCUCUUCUUCGGGCGCGGCCGCAGGAGCAUCUCCACCUCUCCACUCCCUCACGCAACAGCACUCCAAAGUCCAAACCCCCACCCCGCGCCCGGCUGCCGCUAGGGUUUCUUACCCUCGCUGCCCCGCCGCGACUCGUGUUGCGGGCAGUGAGGAUGGGAGCGGGUCGGUCGUGUCGCUUAGUGGGUGGAUGGUUGGGGACCGGCGGAUCAGGCCCUGGCGUGGUCCUCUCCCUUCGACUCGCGCCGCCGACCUGGGCUCCCUCUUCUUCCACGGCCACAGCCUGGGGUUGCUGCCGGCUAGACGAAUAAUUAUGUGCAGGCUGCCACGACAAAGGGUUUGACUCCUACACCAAUCUCAUCAAGUUGCUCGUUCAAAGGGUGACAACCUGCUAUGGGGUGGUUCUCUUAUUGAACAUGUUUUAUAUUUCUGCAGAAUUAGUGAUGGAGCCUUGAUAUGUACCAUGACUUAAGUUCUGGACGUGCAUCGAGUAAAUGCAGCAGCCUUGAUGUUUGAAGUUACAGGGGCAUGGACUCUAAUUUGCAACCACAAAGUUUAUACCGUUGUUGUGUGGGUCAGUCUGGGAAAUUUGCACAUCCAACUAUUUGAUCUGGGAAAUGCAACGCCUCGCCACAGAAGGGGGCUAGCCCGUCCAUGCUCACCGGUCUGGUUGUCUGGGGGCGAGGAGGGGGCGCAGCUGCGCCCGGAGGAGGUCAUCUCGGCGCCCGCAUCCUCAUCGUCUACAUUGCCCACACGACAGGUCGUCGCUGCUGAUUAGAUCCUCUUGGAAAUAGUUAAUGUAAACUCAAGUAAAAAAAUCCCAUGUUGUUUGCUGGCCUCUUUUGAAGUUUAUUCUAACUUGCUAUUUAUUAGAUCCUCUUGCAGUUGUGUUGUGUUGUUCCAUAAAUUGCAGGCUUGAUGUAUAUAUCUAUGACUGUUUUCCCAAGAAUAACAUACAGACGACGGCCAACGCAUUCAUGGUGGAGGGAAAGAUUGGUGUUGAUCCUGUUUGUAUGCAAAUCCUUAGAUGGAUGAAAUUCCUUUGCAUCUAAGUAAGUGGUAUGAAAGGGACGCGGAGUUCGUGAACUCGAGCACACAGGAGCUCGAUAUCUGUCCCGUUCACUACUGCGUCGUGAUUCGCUGCAUUCAAUGCCCGGGACAGGCCUGUGGUCGACCAGGAAUUGGGAAAGUCAGAUAUACGUACAGGUGCAGACCUGAAAGGUGGGCCAUGGCUCUGACGGACGUUAGGACGCCGUCCACUGAUCGGCGGACAGCCGUGGCCCAGGACGUCGGCGCCGUCCGAGUCUGUGGUUCAGAACGGUCUCAGAUAUGUGCGGCGGAGUGUCUGCAUAGGCACACCAGGUGGAGAUCAACCACAAUCAUCUGAGCAACCCAUAGAGCAGUAGAUUGUCCCCCAGAGUACCGGGGUGGACGUUUAGGUCAGCUAUGCAUUUUUGUGUGGUUCAGAAUUAUAUGAUGACCCGCAUAAGUCUGCGGUUACACUUUGGUACAAAUGCAGAGUCAGGAUUGGGGCUGAAGCAGGCAGAGAGCCAUGCCAAAAUAGGAUUUCAGCAAUGGAGAAAUCAAUCCGGGGGUUUGCCGAACAUCCUGGUGACAAUGUCAUUGUGCCAAAAUUAGGGACUAGCUUCCACACACUGGGUGAAGCUUACGAUUUUUACAAUCUGUAGUCAUGGGAGAAAGGUUUUGGCAUCUCAAAUUUCUUCCUUUGCAAACAGACGCUCGAUGCAAUAAGUGAGUCAUUGAUCGACCUCCCAAUGAUGGAAGUAGCACUGUGUUUGGUGAGAGGUGGGAUGAACUGUCUGGAAGAAAAUUAUGUUACCCUUACAAACUAUGGACAAGGGGUGUCAUCCGGUACCCUCUCAACCUUCAGUCUCUGAACUUAUAUUACAGUUUUUCACUUCGGCGUCCACACAAGAGCUAUCUAGGAACUUGUGCACGAGAAUCCUAUGUUUGUAAGGAUAACAGGGGUGGUGCUGAAGGAACAGCUUGGGGGUGACACGAUGAUUGACCAUGAGCUGAUGUCUGUCAUUAUCCAUAGGUGUUGCCAGGCUGACCAGGAAGCCGAUGAAGAAUCGCCCUACCUAACAUGGAGGCACCAACUUCAACCCGAUUUCUCGACAUUGGUGCUCACUACGGGGACAAGCUGAAGCUCCCCAUUACAAAGGUGAUUACCCGCUCGCGGAGUCGCUGCAUGGGAUGAGCGGAUGUAUCUCCUUCCGUACGGUGACCGACAAUGAGGUAGACAUUAAAGACUAAAGAUGGAAGACUGAUUGCCACAGCGGAUCUGUUCGGAUUUGGAUUGGAUUUAGCAGGGUGUGGAUAAGACGAGCUGUGUUGGGAAGGUUGGUGGCUACAACGAGUCAACGACCGGGCACCAUAGAUAUACUUCGUCACGCCGUUAGCCCAGAAUCUUCUGCAAGACGGCUCAUAUCGUCUACCUCCGUCCCGAGCUGCGCUCUUCAUGUCUAACGGGGUAACGAUUGAUGCUUGUCAGACGUGGACCAUAGGACACUAUAAUAAAUCAAAUACAGAGUUCAUACCUGGGCCUUUACUUCUUGGGCUGUGCAUCUCGAGACGAACUUGUGGCAGAGAUAACGAGCACACAGGUGCUCGAGCUCACAAAAGCACAUUCGAAAAUAUGUGGGUACGGAGCUCUACCCACAAACCUGGAUUCAAGUGAUUGGUGGCGGGUUCUAGGUUCAAUGGACAAGUCUAUCUAUAAAAAGUAGUUAACUAUAUAGUGUACUCCUAUGCUUUGUUAAAGCAGUGUAUGUUGGUUAUAGUAAACAAUCUUUGUAGCUGUUUUUUUUGUAAAACAUACUAAACCCUGAUGUGUUUAGUAUAAAAAAAUGCACCAUUGGCAUGUAA